UAAUAUGUAUACAAUGUUAAUGCAUUAGAUCCUAUUAGAACUCUGCAGUUAAUUGUGCUUGGGCUAGAGUAAUACUGGGAUGGGUGACCUCCCGGGAAGUCCUGGUGUUUUAC
rnacentral:rRNA from 1 species